rnacentral:rRNA from 1 species
UACGUAGGGGGCAAGCGUUGUCCGGAUUUAUUGGGCGUAAGGAGCGUGUAGGCGGCCAGGUAGGUCCGUUGUGAAAACUCGAGGCUCAACCUCGAGACGCCGAUGGAAACCCCCUGGCUAGAGUCCGGAAGAGGAGAGUGGAAUUCCUGGUGUAGCGGUGAAAUGCGCAGAUAUCAGGAAGAACACCCGUGGCUAAGGCGGCUCUCUAGUACGGUACUGACGCUGAGACGCGAAAGCGUGGGGAGCGAACAGG